rnacentral:sRNA from 1 species
UAAGUGUGAUGGCGUCUACGCGCCUCUAU